rnacentral:sRNA from 1 species
GUUGGGUACAGUGGCUCACACCUGUAAUCCCAGCAGCUCAGGAGGCUGAGGCAGGAGGAUCAUGAAUGCAAAGCCAGCCUCAGCAAAAGAGAGGUGCUAAGCAACUCAAUGAGACCCUGUCUCUA